ensembl:lncRNA LOC102551386 uncharacterized LOC102551386
UGCAUCUCGAGACUCCGUUCUGAACACAUCUUCGAGGCUGUGAUGGGCAGGGCUUGCUGAUUUAUGCAGUGACCACAAGACCUCUUUCUUACUGUCCCAGAACAAAAUACUUGCUUCCUUAUUUGGUUGGUUGGUCGGUUGGUCGGUUGGUCAGUUUUUCUACAAGGUCUGGUCAUAACCUUGCAAAAUCUGGGAUUGUGCCAUCAUACUGGGCUUAUCCAUUUUGUCCUAUUCCAGAUAAAGUUACUUGUGGUUUCCAUCUCCUGACACCAUCUGUUCACUGAGAUGUGGUUGGAAAAGCCCUGUGAACAAGGUGACCUCAUAUAAAUGGAAUCAGCUUGUCAGGACAGUAGAUCUGGCUCAGCAGUGAGGGCGAGCACUGCUCUUUCAAAAGACCUGAUUUUGAGAUGCAGCUCCCAUGUCAGGUGGUACAGCUGUCUCUAACGCCAGCUCUAAUGCGAUCUGAUGCCUCUACCCUCCACAAGCACCCACAACCACAUACACAUACCCACACAGACACACAAAUACAGAAA